AGAACGAACGCUGGCGGCAUGCCUAAUACAUGCAAGUCGAACGAACACUUCGGUGUUAGUGGCGCACGGGUGCGUAACGCGUGGGAAUCUGCCCUUGGGUUCGGAAUAACAGUUGGAAACGACUGCUAAUACCGGAUGAUAUCGAAAGAUCAAAGAUUUAUCGCCCAGGGAUGAGCCCGCGUAGGAUUAGCUAGUUGGUGAGGUAAAGGCUCACCAAGGCGACGAUCCUUAGCUGGUCUGAGAGGAUGAUCAGCCACACUGGGACUGAGACACGGCCCAGACACCGACGGGAGGCAGCAGUAGGAUAGUGGACAAGUGGCGCAAGCCUGACUCCGAAGCAAUGCCGCGUGAGUGAUGAGGCCGUUAGGUAGUAAGCUUACGUUUACCGAGUAUAGAUAAGU
rnacentral:rRNA from 1 species